GGGAAAAGUUUCUUAAAGUUAAAGUCGCUUGUGCCUCGAACGAAAAAAACUUGCGUAGAGUACACGAUCGUAAUGCAUAGCUACGACGAUCCAAGGGCUUUCCCUCUCCUCUCUUCUAUCACGGAGGAGGAGGAGGAGGAGGACGACGACGACGGUGGUUCUUCGAAAUGGCCUUUAAUACAAAUUCGCGUUUGUUCCGACAUCGUGUUUUUUACGUCGACGUAUUUUCUGUCAGUACAACGAAAUGGGAGGGAGAGGGGGAGGGGGUUCUUUCUCUCUUAACGUAGUUAGGCAAACAAAGAUUUGUUCUUUUCCAAUCUUGCCUCAUCGAUUCUCAAGCUUUUCUCUUUUACCGUUCGACACGUUCGACGUUAACGGGCGAGGAGCGAGGGGGCGGGGGAGUAAAUGCAAGGCGCGCAAUUCCACGCUCGCGAUAAAGUGGAAUAUCGGAAAUUUAUGCGAAACGGCGAUCGGCCGCGUCGAACGUAGCCAGGAACGUAGCGCGAAACUCGUUUUUCUCUGACGAUUCAAAAAUCGUUUUGCUGCUUGCGCGACUACAUAUGCACAUAUGUGCGUAGUAUAAGUAGAAAUGAUCGGUGGGAAAUAUUCGGAGUCAUGGAAAGAACGGCAGCCGGGAAAAUAAUAAGUUUAGAAUAAAAUUUCAAUCUCGCUCGAGAUCGAAAUGAUUCUUUUGAUCAACGGAAGUGAAAGAAACUAUUCUACUUUUAAUAUCGUAGAACGGGAGGAAGAAUGGAAUAAAUUAUUUGAGGUAUCGAAGAGAAGACGCGUGAAGCCCCUUGCAAAAUAUAAUCGAGUAAAAGAACUGGCAGCCGCAUUUUGUACGUCAAGAGGUAGAAAAGCUCUCGUGACGGGAGAUCGAGCGCGAUUCGAGAACCUCCUUUAAAGGUCUUAUCGGUCUUUGGAAAAUUGCGGCUCGUGGUGGGUGGUACCGGCAUAUCCUUGAGAAAAUCCAAGAGAAAAUCAAUCUACGGCGCUUCUUCGGCACGCUCCACUCUCCGAACGAUUAAACACACACCGAUCCAUUUCGUUGACUUUUUAAACGCGAUCAUUUUCAAAGAGCUAACGACGCUUUGGCGCGCCCAUGAGCGCCUUUGGCAGAAACUCGGAAAGGAGCGAUACCCGCGACUUAAUUAUCAUUAUUAUUUUUAUUAUUAUUAUUAUUAUUAUUAUGAUUAUUAUUAUUAUUACUAUUAUUUCCGCCAGGUAUGAUCGCCAUCUUGCACGCCAUCUUGUCCACACCCGCGCAUUUUGAAAACUAGAAAACGUCGUCUUAUGAAUUUUUUAUCACUCCCCGUAACGUGCGUGCGGCAAACUUUGAUAAAUAUUUCCUCGGACCAUGCGACGACGACCAUCUGAUUCGUCGAGCUCAGAUUGCAUUCGAAAGCGUGGCCUCGCCAAUAAAUAACGACGUAAAGGUGUUGCGAUGAAAAAUAGAAAAAACGUUGGAAGACGGGGGGGAGAGAGAGAUGUAGGGAGGCGGGGAGAUUCUUCUCGCGGUAAAAAAAGAAAAAGAAAAGGUCGAGAAAACAUUCUGUUGCCGCACCCACACGAAAUGAGUAUUAACUAUCGAUAGAAAAAUGCAGGUCGGGCCGCGAGUUUCGUUCGAUCGUAUCGCUCCAUUUUCUCAGAGUCAAUUCCGCGAUAAAAUCAAAGGAACAUGGAAUUUUAAAUUUGUAUUUCUAAUCUUGCCUAACCUUUCUUUUUCCUCUUCACAAAAUUAAAACGUUCGAAAUUAAAACGCGUGUCUAUAAGUACUUAACACUCCCUUAUUGUAAUAAUACUUGUAAAGCAGAUACGAGAUUUCUUUUUUCUGCGGAUAAAAUGGGACUAUUAUAUCGUGUCGGAUCGUCCGCAGUCGUUCUUGAGACGAUUAAUUGCUACCCCAACCGUGAUCGAUUACCAGACGUUUUCUCCAACAAAGUAGAAAAGGUCCGACUACAGAUCAGGCACAGCAAUUCUCUCCUUCUCAAGCCCCCGCCAUUCUACUGCACGUUAUACAUAUACGUACGUAUGUUUGAAUAUAACAAUCGUUCAUACAUACAUACAUACAUACAUACAUACAUACAUACAUACAUACAUAUAUAUAUAUAUAUGUAUGUAUUAUAUACGUGAUUAUACAUAAAGACUACCGCAUAUUAAAUGAAAUUAAUCAAUGUUACAACAACGAUUUUUCUCUAUCGUCGCCGGACAUACGGGCUCUCAUUGCCUCACUACUAACGAAUUCAUUCCGUUUAAAAGAAGAAAGCGAAUAGUUACACGCAUGUGGUAAAUAUGACUGCUCAUGCAAGCUCGGGUGAAACGAUAAAUAAGUACGUACGUACGUAAGUAGGUAAGUAAUUAAGUAAGUAAGUAGGUAGGUAAGUGAGUGAGUAAGUAAUAAAGUAACGAUAAAGUAACGAUGUCGAUGUAAUAAUAAUGAUAGUAAUAAUGUAGUAAUAAUAAUGACGACGACGACGACGACGACGCCGAUAAUGAUGAUGAUAAUAAUAAUAAUAAUAAUAAUAAUAAUAAUAAUAAUAAUAAUAAUACUGGUAAGAAAAGAGAAACAAAUGUCGACACAUCCGGCGUGCAGGUACUCGAGGUAUUCGUCAAAGUUCAUCCUCCUACGUAAGUUGAAGAUGAAAAAAAAGUGAAAUAGCGAUAAUAAAAGAUAAAAAAUGUGAAAGAAAAAAAUGGAAAGAAGGAAGAAAAAAAUAAAGGUAGAAUAAAAGAAGAAUAGGUACAAAGAGCGUAAUAAAUUUAUAACCAGAGAGCGAAAAAAUUGCACUUGCACAUUGCGGCACACACACACAUAUAUAUAUAUAUAUAUAUAUAUAUAUAUAUAUAUAUAUAUCUGUUGCACCAGUGCCCGAGAUAGGAGGAAAAAGGUCUCGGCAUUCGUAACGCAAUACAACAAAGUACCAACGUUAAUAAACAUUCCUUAUCGACCGAACGAAUGAUUAGCGUAGGGAUUAAAUUGCCAGAGUGCGAUCCGACGUAUCGCGGAAAAAGGGACAUUGUCGUAUGCCUUUGUUUUUUCUUUUACUCGUUAUUCUUAUAUCCUGCAAUAGAAAGAUCGUAAACAGAGUUGAGCGAUGACACGCGUGGCCGAUGCUAAACGAUCGCGUAUAUACGUAUAUGAGCAUGUAUACGUAUAUAACGAAACCGUGAGAAAAGGUAACAUCGACGAUUACUUACAAUUGGAUUAAUCUUUGAUUAAUCUGAAGAGCCAUUAUAUUUACUGUUAUUAUUACUAUUAUUAUAAUUACGAUUAUUAUUACUGUUAUUGUCACAAUUACUACAACUACUACCAGCAUCAACGAAGCCAACGACAAGUGACUCGGUAUCGCGAACGCUCGUUGUUAUCGAUUAGCUCUGGCUACUACAAAAAUUUCCUAUUAUUUCUCUUCGUUUGCUGUCAACUUCAUCUGUCCGCCCCCCCCCUCCCUCAACCCUUUUAUCUCGCACGCACUCACUCACUCACUCACUCAUUCAUUCUCUCUCUCUCUCUCUCUCUCUCUCUCUCUCUCUCUCUCUCUAGAAACGAAGAAACCUUAUUGAGCGCGAUUAACUUUGAACAGAAAUUAAAAGAAAGGAAUCGAGCGAGCGAGCAAAUUUCUUUUUCCGCGAGAGACGCGCGCGUGUCCGCAUAUCCGCGCUUAGACGUAAGAGCGUGGCGAAUAACAAUAAUUACCCAAUUAAUUAACAGUGAGGUGCGAAACAUAGCAAGACAGAAUAAAAAGAUAUUAACACUACUUUCGCGUCGACCGGGUGUGUGAGCGUGUGCGUGUGUUUCAGAAGAGACAACUAUAUUCAAUGAACAAUCAAGUCAAACAAUUAAUCAACCGUGUUGUUAUGUAAGUAUAGAUAUUAUAUGCGCUAUACAGUGAGUGCUAAACACGGCAGGAGAAUAUUUGGAAAAUGAAAAGUGGAAGAGAAAGGGGGAGGGGCGAUGGGAGGGAGGAAAUAGUGAAAGAGCUUGAAACGUCGAUGUGUUUUCUCGUUGUAUAAGAGGAUCCAAUAUUUUCUCUCUUUUCUUUUUCCUUUCUUGGUUGGGGCGCGAUCGUCGAACCAUACCCGUUGUUGAUACGUAUCAAAGAAGAAAGAAACGACGGAGAAAAGGAAAAGUAUUGCACGGUCUUGAACGAGUACGUGUCGAUCUUUCUUAUUUAUUUUAUAUUUUACCUCUUUCUCUCUUAUUACUCCUUUUUUAGUAAAGUAACACUCUACUGAAGUGUCGUACGCGACGCGAGAAAAUGAAGAGAAACGUCCUCCGGUACGAUCGCGCGCGCGAACAAUUCCCGUUACGAAAUUCAAUCGUUACCUUUCGCGAAUUUGCGCAUGGCUCUCUUUUAAAGGACGGAAAGUAAAAUAUGGAAGGAGUAUUUUCAUUCGAAAAAUGGAUGAGAUAGAUAAAAAGAGCAGGAAAUUGAAAAGUACUCGAAGUAGUGUGACCGAAGCUGCCAAACAACGAUAUAAAAGCGCACAAAACAAUACGAGAGAUUCAAGAUUAUAUAUAUAUAUAUUAGUGUGUAUGUCUAUAUAUACACAUACACGAGAGACCAAGAGAGAGAGAGAGAGAGAGAGAGAGAGAGAGGAGGAAGGAGAACCAAAAGCAAGAAAAGAAGAAGGACCAACGAGAUUAAAAGUAUAAACUUCUUUGUGGACGUUGCAGAUAUUUCGUUGAGAGAUAUUUCUCUUUUUUCUUCUUUCCUUCUUUCUUUCGCUCAUCUUACUCACUCCUCUCUCUCUCUCUCUCUCUCUCUCUCUCUCUCUCCCUCCCUCUCUUCUUGUGUCCGUUCUCUUUUCUUUUUGUCCUUUAAUAAAUAUAUCGUAGAAGAUACUAAUGUGUGUCGAAUGAGGGAAAUUCAGAGUUUCGAGAACAUUUUCUUUGGCCGUUUCCUUGAGUUUCGUAGAUGCGCAUAUAAGUGGCAACGAUAACAACGACAAUGUUUUUCAAGAUCGGACGAGGAUCCAAGCGAAGAAGAUGGAGCCGAACGAGUCUUUCGAAGGAGGAUUCGAGAGAAUAUAAUAAUGCGAUCCGCCGAACGACGGUGAAAUCGAAAGCAGCGUUCUCUAUUCUAAGACACAUACGUGAUUGUUAAAAAAGAAAAAGAAAACAAAAGGAAAAGAAAAAAAGAAUAUGGGAGAAAAAAAAUAAAAGCAUUGGCCUCUCAUUAUACCUUCCACUCACCUAUAAAAAAGCGUGCGACUACUAUUUACAUAUAAUAAUAGUAAUAAUAUAAUAAUAAUGAUGAUUGUAACAAUCAAAGAUGGAGAUACCUUUCGUAUUAUAACGUGUAUAUGCGCGCAUAUCUAUGCGACGAGUAUAGUGCGCGUGUAAAUAUAUAUAUAAUUGUGUACAUAUAUAUAUAUAUAUAUAUGUGUAUAUAUAUAUGUAUAUUUAUAUAUAUAUGAGUCUUGCUAAAUGCAGUAUAUCAUGUAUGUACGUAUCAUGCUGGUCACGUUGCAAGUGGAUUAGUCGAGGCUCGGCGAUCGCGAUGGAAAAGGAAAAGAAAAAAAUAUGGAGCGAGGAAAUUGAAAAAUUGAAACACUUGGUCGAUCCGCACACUUGAAGACGAAGAUAUUACUAUUUCCUUUCUGUCGUCUAUUUAUUUUCUCUCGUCCUUCGUACUUUGGAUCCAACGACAAUUUCUCGAAACUCGUAAGGAUCGGGCUCGAGAAUAUCGGAAUUCGUGGAUUCGGAGAAAUAGAAUUGAUAAUACAGGUGCGACAAAGUUUCAUCAAAUCAAAUGGGCAGCAUCUCCCGAGAAUUUUUCCUUCGCGAGCGGAAGUGACGCUCGACCGGAAUCGCCAGAUUCGUACGUAAUAGCUCGUUCGAAAGUUAUACGUUCGAAAGUUAUUCUCUUUCAUAAAGUUACGAUAAUUCUCUUCGCGCUUCUCUUUCGUUUUUUACAUUUUUUACCUUACGAACGAGCAUAUCGUACGAGGCGCUACGAUCGAUUCUAUCAAGUAUAACCAAUGGGAACUAAAUAACGAUAAAAUGCGGAAGGCUAGCUAGUAAAAAUGCAACAGCUCGUCUAACAACUACGAGAGAACUAACGCCAUUGGUUAUAUGCUAUUUAUAUAUACGUAUAUAUAUAUAUAUAUAUAUAUAUAUAUAUAUAUAUGUGUAUAUGUAUAUGCGUGUGUGCGUGUACGUGUCACUAGGGCACAUACGCAAAGACGAGAGAGAGAGAGAGAGAGAGAGAGAGAGAGAGAGAGAGAGCAAGGGCGACGGGCAAGGCUUCUCCUCUUCGUUCUUUUCGUUUCUUCUCCAGUUCGAUUCGGAAUAAAUGAAAACGAAUAAAAAGGACGAUGCUCUUUCUCUCUCUUUCGAUCCCGUCGCACUCGCUCUCUAUGCUUUUUCCCUCUUCGAAGAUAUGUCUUUUUUACUUCUUUUUACAAAAUGCUGCGCUUCAUUAGGGAUGCCACAUUCCAUUUACAUUGACGAAGCUUUCGAAAAAAUGUCCUUCUUUCUCUUUCUCGUUCCCUCACUCUUGGCGCACGCACACAGACAGAGAAACACGCAAACAGCCAAGCACACGCGCAAACGUACGAUCUUUCUGUCUCUCCCUCUCUUUCUCGCUACCUUUCGUACUUUCGUGUAAACUCCGACACUCUUAAAAAUACAAAAUGUCUUAUCCUCCUAGCCUUUGUAAAAUCCAAGAGUAUGUAUCAUUAGGUAAUAUAAUUGUUAAGAAAUAGUUUGACAAUUUAGUUUCAACGUUCGAUCGAUCGUGCAUUUUACAAAGGCGAAAUUCGAUAGAAAUAUAAAUAAUUGAAAUACGUAAAAACGUAUGUCGUAAGAUGCGAUGGCAACGCUCUCUUAAAGACGAAAGAAAUUGCGCUUAACCGGAUUACCAACUGUCGUUAUAAUCGUCGAAAAGUCGUCGAAAAGUCGUCGAAAUCGAUCCAAGAAUUAAGAGUUAAGAGGCUAACGCGUAAGAGGAAACGAAAUGUUUCUCUAUAGUUAGGUAGAGAACGAUCGAG